GGACCUAUAGAAGCGGUUUUUUUGCAGCGAUUUUAAAAAUGUGUCGCUUAAUUUCAAAUUGCGACAAUUAGGUAUGACAAUUUUCGAACCGCCGCUAUAUUGAAAUCAUUAUUCAAAGGCAGGCUUUAACGAAAGUGUUUUACCCUCUCAGAGACCAUUAUCACUUAUCUCGUAGCUGUUUACCUUCUCUCGCCCUCACUCUCUAGCUUGCCGAUCUACAUCACUUUCUCACUCACUUUGUGGCAUUCUCGAUCUACAUCUCUUGCUCGCUCGAUCUAACUCUCUUGCUCGCUCACCCUUUUGCUCACUCGGCUUUCCUCUCUCACACUCGAUCUCCUAAAAUUUUACUCAUGACGAGAUCUGCCAUCUUUCAAUUUAUCAGCAUCGAUACGCCGAUGGCUACACUGGUGAAAACCUUUUGAUGGUCGGAUGAGAUCUGGACCGUCCGUUCCUCAUGAACGGUCUAGAUCUCCUUCAACGAGAUUCUAUUUGACCCUCAUCUUCGAGCAGCAGGAAGUGGAGCAGGCGUUGAAGCCUUUGGAUGGUUCAGGUUUUGCAAUUUUUGAUUUUUUUUUUCUGCAUAUUGUUUUCCGAUUUUUGUGUGUGCAUCUUGUCCAAUUUCACACUGCCAGUGCAGCCCAUUUUCACACUGGCAGCUGGCACAGUCCAAUGUUACUAACACUAACAUCAGACUUAAACCCUAACGUCCACGCUAAACCUCACAACACAGCUCCGGUUACAACCCUAGCGUCCUAGACGCUAAACCUCGCAACACAGCUCCGGCUACAGGAAAUGGCUUCAACCGAGAUUUUUUUGGGUCUUUUUUUUUUGAAAUUUUGGUUUUAUUUUUAAAAUUUAAUUACUGUAUUAAUAUGUUUUAUACAGUAAAUUGGUUUUGUUUAAUAUUAUUUUUUUGGUUUAAUGAUUGAUGUAGUGCGAGUAUGAAGUGUGUUAUAGAUUUGGUAUCACUGAAGUCUGCAGGCAAGGUGCUUUUGGGUGUUGCUGGGCUAUGGCAGCUACAACUGCAAAUCGAGGCGGCGUAGGUCAUAUCUAAAUCUAAAGAAUUUUUUGACAAAUUCGGUGUUAGAAAAUUCGAUCUCAAAAUGAACAUUUCGGUUCAACAACUAAUUGACUAUAUGGAUGUCAAGUUAGACAAAAAAUUUGAUAAAGUAGGAUGUUUUGGGUCGAGUUAUAACCGUGCUUAUGGAUGGAUAAUGAGAAACGGUAUUUGCCUUGACCGGGAUUAUCCCUACAUGGGAACGAGGGAUCCUAGUGAGGAGGGAGAAAUAUUCAGGUAUUAUCUUUUCCAAAAUUAAUUUAAAUUUGUUGGUUAAUUCUUUUAAUAACAUGAUUAUUGUUUUUUUUUUUUAAAAUUUUACUGCCUAUUGUCACAAUUAGUAAUUUCUCUAAAAUUGUGAAAAAAGUAGAAAGUGAGAAAAGAAAGUCCUGGAAAGCCAAGAUUUUGAGAAGUCCUGGAACACCUACAACGUCAACCACUCACUGUCAAAACCAACCACCAACACAGCAUGCUUUCCAUACAAGUAGGGUUUUCUUCUGGAAGAAGGCCUUCAUAAAUUCCCACCUAGAAUAAAAAUACCAAUGUUAACAUAUACAUAAACAAAAUAUAUAAAAUCAAAAAAAUAUUUUAUUGCUGAAAUUACCACUUUAAAAUGAUAAAUUGAUCAAAAACUUUUAUAGUGGCAGUGAGUGGUUGACGUUGUAGGUGUUCCAAGACUUCUUUCUCAAAAUCUUGGCUUUCCAGUAUUUUUUUCUCACUUUCUACUUUUUUCACAAUUUUAGAGAAAUUACUAAUUGUGACACUAGGCUGUAAAAUUU